rnacentral:rRNA from 1 species
CAGUCGCCGCGGUAAUACGGAGGGAGCUAGCGUUGUUUGGAAUUACUGGGCGUAAAGCGCGCGUAGGCGGUUACUCAAGUCAGAGGUGAAAGCCCGGGGCUCAACCCCGGAACUGCCUUUGAUACUGGGUGUCUUGAGUGUGAUAGAGGUAUGUGGAACUCCGAGUGUAGAGGUGAAAUUCGUAGAUAUUCGGAAGAACACCAGUGGCGAAGGCGACAUACUGGAUCAUUACUGACGCUGAGGCUCGAAAGCGUGGGGAGCAAACAGGAUUAGAUACCCCCGUAGUCCCUGUCUCUUAUAC